AGUGAACGCUGGCGGUAGGCCUAACACAUGCAAGUCGAACGGCAGCACAGGAGAGCUUGCUCUCUGGGUGGCGAGUGGCGGACGGGUGAGGAAUACAUCGGAAUCUACCUUUUCGUGGGGGAUAACGUAGGGAAACUUACGCUAAUACCGCAUACGACCUACGGGUGAAAGUGGGGGACCGCAAGGCCUCACGCGAUUAGAUGAGCCGAUGUCCGAUUAGCUAGUUGGCGGGGUAAUGGCCCACCAAGGCGACGAUCGGUAGCUGGUCUGAGAGGAUGAUCAGCCACACUGGAACUGAGACACGGUCCAGACUCCUACGGGAGGCAGCAGUGGGGAAUAUUGGACAAUGGGCGCAAGCCUGAUCCAGCCAUACCGCGUGGGUGAAGAAGGCCUUCGGGUUGUAAAGCCCUUUUGUUGGGAAAGAAAUCCUAUCGGUUAAUAACCGGUGGGGAUGACGGUACCCAAAGAAUAAGCACCGGCUAACUUCGUGCCAGCAGCCGCCGUAACAC
rnacentral:rRNA from 1 species